rnacentral:misc_RNA from 1 species
AAGUCGUAACAAGGUUUCCGUAGGUGAACCUGCGGAAGGAUCAUUACUAGAGCAAAGGAUAGACAGCGCCCGCGGAGCCUUGCUCCCUGGGGCUACCCUACUUCGGUAAGGUUUAGAGUCGUCGGGCCCUCUCGAAGAAGCUCGGUCCUGAACUCCACCCUUGAAUAAAUUACCUUUGUUGCUUUGGCGGGCCGCCUCGUGCCAGCGGCUUCGGCUGUUGCGUGCCCGCCAGAGGACCACAACUCUUGUUUUUAGUGAUGUCUGAGUACUAUAUAAUAGUUAAAACUUUCAACAACGGAUCUCUUGGUUCUG